AAAUCGUUUCCAAGGGAUAAUUUGUUUUGAAAACAAAUAAAAAGUGCUCAUAACACUUAACGAUUUA
rnacentral:tRNA from 1 species